GGGAGGCAGCAGUAAGGAAUCUUCCGCAAUGGACGAAAGUCUGACGGAGCAACGCCGCGUGAGUGAAGACGGUUUUCGGAUUGUAAAGCUCUGUCUUUUGGGACGAAUGUUAUCCAUGUAAAUAAUGUGGGUAAAUGACGGUACCAGAGGAGGAAGCCACGGCUAACUGCGUGCCAGCAGCCGCGGUAAUACGUAGGUGGCGAGCGUUGUCCGGAAUUAUUGGGCGUAAAGCGCGCGCAGGCGGGUAUAUAAGUCUGUCUUAAAAGUGCGGGGCUCAACCCCGUGAGGGGACAGAAACUAUAUAUCUUGAGUGCAGGAGAGGACAGUGGAAUUCCCAGUGUAGCGGUGAAAUGCGUAGAUAUUGGGAGGAACACCAGUGGCGAAGGCGACUGUCUGGACUGUGUCUGACGCUGAGGCGCGAAAGCCAGGGGAGUGAACGGGAUUAGAUACCCCUGUAG
rnacentral:rRNA from 1 species